AUGGCUCCCGAGCUGGCCGGCAAGAUGACCGCCAAGGCCGCCGUGGCGGCGGCGAAGCCCGCGACGAAGGCGUACGUGACGUUCCUGGCGGGGGCGGGGGACUACUGGAUGGGCGUGGUGGGGCUUGCCAAGGGCCUGCGCAAGGUUGGCUCGGCCUACCCGCUGGUGGUGGCCGUGCUGCCCGACGUGCCCGAGCUCCACCGCAAGAUCCUCCUCUCCCAGGGCUGCAUCGUCCGCGAGAUCGCCCCCGUGUACCCGCCCGAGAACCAGACCCAGUUUGCCAUGGCGUACUACGUCAUCAACUACUCCAAGCUCCGCAUCUGGGAGUUUGUGGAGUACGAGAGGAUGGUGUACCUCGACGCCGACAUCCAGGUGUUCGACAACAUCGACGAGCUGUUUGAUCUGCCCAAGGGCCACUUCUACGCCGUCAUGGACUGCUUCUGCGAGAAGACGUGGAGCCACACCCCGCAGUACCAGAUCGGCUACUGCCAGCAGUGUCCCGAAAAGGUGACGUGGCCGGCCGCCGAGAUGGGCCCGCCGCCGGCGCUCUACUUCAACGCCGGCAUGUUCGUGCACGAGCCCAGCAUGGCCACCGCCAAGGCGCUCCUUGACACCCUCCGCGUGACGCCGACCACCCCAUUCGCGGAGCAGGAUUUCCUCAACAUGUUCUUCAGGGAGCAGUACAAGCCGAUCCCGCUGGUCUACAACCUUGUGCUGGCGAUGCUGUGGAGGCACCCGGAGAACGUGCAGCUGGAGAAGGUCAAGGUGGUGCACUACUGCGCUGCGGGAUCGAAGCCAUGGAGGUUCACGGGCAAAGAGGAGAACAUGGACAGGGAGGACAUCAGGAUCCUCGUCAGGAACUGGUGGGAUAUCUACAACGACGAGAGCCUCGAUUUCAAGGGCCUGGCCGCCGACGCCGACGAGCUCGAGGCGGCAGCCAAGAAGCCGCUCCGCGCGGCGCUUGCGGAAGCCGGCACCGUCAAGUACGUCACCGCGCCCUCGGCUGCGUAA
rnacentral:rRNA from 1 species